UACGAAGGGGGCUAGCGUUGUUCGGAUUUACUGGGCGUAAAGCGCACGUAGGCGGUUUGUUAAGUCAGGGGUGAAAUCCCAGAGCUCAACUCUGGAACUGCCUUCGAUACUGAGAGUCUCGAGUCCGGGAGAGGUGAGUGGAACUGCGAGUGUAGAGGUGAAAUUCGUAGAUAUUCGCAAGAACACCAGUGGCGAAGGCGGCUCACUGGCCCGGUACUGACGCUGAGGUGCGAAAGCGUGGGGAGCAAACAGG
rnacentral:rRNA from 1 species